UGGCUGCGCGGUAAAGUGCUUGGCUUCUGACCCAAGAGUCCCGGGUUCAAAUCCUGG
rnacentral:tRNA from 1 species